GGUGAACGCUAGCUACAGGCUUAACACAUGCAAGUCGAGGGGCAGCAUGUCGGUUGCUUGCAACCGACGAUGGCGACCGGCGCACGGGUGAGUAACGCGUAUCCAACCUACCCUUGUCCAUCGGAUAACCCGUCGAAAGGCGGCCUAACACGAUAUGCGGUUCUCAGCAGGCAUCUAACGAGAACGAAAUGUGAAGGAGAAGGAUGGGGAUGCGUCUGAUUAGCUUGUUGGCGGGGUAACGGCCCACCAAGGCGACGAUCAGUAGGGGUUCUGAGAGGAAGGUCCCCCACAUUGGAACUGAGACACGGUCCAAACUCCUACGGGAGGCAGCAGUGAGGAAUAUUGGUCAAUGGACGGAAGUCUGAACCAGCCAAGUAGCGUGCAGGAUGACGGCCCUAUGGGUUGUAAACUGCUUUUAUGUGGGAAUAAAGUGAGGGACGUGUCCCUUUUUGUAGGUACCACAUGAAUAAGGACCGGCUAAUUCCGUGCCAGCAGCCGCGGUAAUACGGAAGGUCCGGGCGUUAUCCGGAUUUAUUGGGUUUAAAGGGAGCGUAGGCCGUUUUUUAAGCGUGUUGUGAAAUACUGUCGCUCAACGACAGAGGUGCAGCGCGAACUGGGAGACUUGAGUGCGCGGAAUGCAGGCGGAAUUCGUCGUGUAGCGGUGAAAUGCUUAGAUAUGACGAAGAACUCCGAUUGCGAAGGCAGCUUGCAGUAGCGUAACUGACGCUGAAGCUCGAAAGUGCGGGUAUCGAACAGG
rnacentral:rRNA from 1 species